rnacentral:tRNA from 2 species
GGUCUUAUAGUCUAGUUGGUUAGGACGUCGGAUUCUGAUUGCCUUCAGACCUUUCCGUAGGCCCAGGUUCGAAUCCUGGUAGGACCU